AUGGGUAUAAGAGACAGGUGAAUCAUCGAAUCUUUGAACGCACCUUGCGCCUUCUGGUAUUCCGGAAGGCAUGCCUGUUUGAGUGUCAUGAACACCUCACCCCCUCGGGUUUCCGAUUGGGUGGAUUUGGGCGCUGCCAGUCACAUGGCUCGCCUUAAAAGCAUUAGCGGUUGUUGACUUAAUAAGUUUCGUCUUGUCGACCGCUUCUAAUCUCCUUAGGGAUGUCUUCGGACACUUCAUGAUCUGACCUCAAAUCAGGUAGGACUACCCGCUGAACUUAAGCAUAUCAAUAAGCGGAGG
rnacentral:misc_RNA from 1 species